rnacentral:rRNA from 1 species
GAUGAACGCUGGCGGCGUGCCUAAUACAUGCAAGUCGAGCGAACAGACGAGGAGCUUGCUCCUCUGACGUUAGCGGCGGACGGGUGAGUAACACGUGGAUAACCUACCUAUAAGACUGGGAUAACUUCGGGAAACCGGAGCUAAUACCGGAUAAUAUAUUGAACCGCAUGGUUCAAUAGUGAAAGACGGUUUUGCUGUCACUUAUAGAUGUAUCCGCGCCGCAUUAGCUAGUUGGUAAGGUAACGCCUUACCAAGGCAACGAUGGGUAGCCGACCUGAGAGGGUGAUCGGCCACACUGGAACUGAGACACGGUCCAGACUCCUACGGGAGGCAGCAGUAGGGAAUCUUCCGCAAUGGGCGAAAGCUUGACGGAGCAACGCCGCGUGAGUGAUGAAGGUCUUCGGAUCGUAAAACUCUGUUAUUAGGGAAGAACAAAUGUGUAAGUAACUAUGCACGUCUUGACGGUACCUAAACAGAAAGCCACGGCUAACUACGUG